rnacentral:rRNA from 1 species
CAGCAGCCACGGGAAUACAGAGGGUGCGAGCGUUAAUCGGAUUUACUGGGCGUAAAGCGUGCGUAGGCGGCUUCUUAAGUCGGAUGUGAAAUCCCUGAGCUUAACUUAGGAAUUGCAUUCGAUACUGGGAAGCUAGAGUAUGGGAGAGGAUGGUAGAAUUCCAGGUGUAGCGGUGAAAUGCGUAGAGAUCUGGAGGAAUACCGAUGGCGAAGGCAGCCAUCUGGCCUAAUACUGACGCUGAGGUACGAAAGCAUGGGGAGCAAACAGGAUUAGAUACCCCGGUAGUCCCUGUCUCUUAUAU